UGUGCCAGCCGCCGCGGUAAUACGGAGGGUGCAAGCGUUAUCCGGAUUCACUGGGUUUAAAGGGUGCGUAGGCGGGUAGGUAAGUCAGAGGUGAAAUCCUGGAGCUUAACUCCAGAACUGCCUUUGAUACUAUCUAUCUUGAAUAUGGUGGAGGUAAGCGGAAUAUGUCAUGUAGCGGUGAAAUGCAUAGAUAUGACAUAGAACGCCUAUUGCGAAGGCAGCUUACUACGCCUAUAUUGACGCUGAGGCACGAAAGCGUGGGGAUCAAACAGGAUUAGAUACCCUGGUAGUCCACGCCCUAAACGAUGAUUACUCGACGUAUGCGAUACGCAGUAUGCGUCUGAGCGAAAGCAUUAAGUAAUCCACCUGGGAAGUACGACCGCAAGGUUGAAACUCAAAGGAAUUGACAGAGG
rnacentral:rRNA from 1 species